CUACAAUUAAGGCCUGCAUGGUUUCAAAACAUAUGUGUUGGAAUCUUCUUACAUCAACUGGGCAAACAACCUCCAAAUAUCUUUAUGCUGGAGAUACUGUUGGUUCAGGUUUGUAUGGCAUUGAUCUGAGACAGCAUCCACAGGCUCUGCUAAUAAGUGAUGCUGCUGGAUUGAUUGAUAUUCCUGA